GCCAAGGUGGGAUGGCUAAGUUGGUAGAGCAUGAGACUCUUAAUCUCUGGGACGUGGGUUCGAGUUCCACCUUGGGCA